GCGGCCUAUCAGCUUGUUGGUGAGGUAAUGGCUCACCAAGGCGACGACGGGUAGCCGGCCUGAGAGGGCGACCGGCCACACUGGGACUGAGACACGGCCCAGACUCCUACGGGAGGCAGCAGUGGGGAAUAUUGGGCAAUGGACGAAAGUCUGACCCAGCGACGCCGCGUGCGGGAUGAAGGCCUUCGGGUUGUAAACCUCUUUCAGCAGGGAAUAAGCGCAAGUGACGGUACCUGCAGAAGAAGCACCGGCUAACUAUGUGCCAGCAGCCGCGGUAAUACAUAGGGUGCAAGCGUUGUCCGGAAUUAUUGGGCGUAAAGAGCUCGUAGGUGGUUUGUYACGUCGGUUGUGAAAUUCAGGGGCUCAACCCCGGACCUGCAUUCGAUACGGGCAAGCUAGAGUUUGGUAGGGGAGACUGGAAUUCCU
rnacentral:rRNA from 1 species